AGUGAAGCGGGAUGAGCUCAAAUUUGAAAUCUGGCUGGUUUACUAGUCCGAGUUGUAAUUUAAAGAAGCGUUUUCGGUGGCAGCCUGGGUAUAAAUCCUUUGGAAUAGGGUAUCAUAGAGGGUGAGAAUCCCGUCUUUGACCUAGUGCAUGCUACUAUGUGAUACGUUUUCAAAGAGUCGAGUUGUUUGGGAAUGCAGCUCAAAAUGGGUGGUAAAUUUCAUCUAAAGCUAAAUAUUGGCGAGAGACCGAUAGCGAACAAGUACCGUGAGGGAAAGAUGAAAAGAACUUUGAAAAGAGAGUUAAACAGUGCGUGAAAUUGUUGAAAGGGAAACGUUUGACACCAGUCAUGUGGGUGGAAAAUCAGUCUUUUGCAUUGGGGAGUUGUAAGGGUUCGGACCGCAAGGCCGGCUUUUGCUUCAUCUUUGGUGUAAGUGAUGCACUUUUUCAUCUACAGGUCAACAUCAGUUUCUUUUGCUGGACAAAACUCCGAGAGAAGGUAGCAGCUUAGGCUGUGUUAUAGCUCUGGAGCGAUACAGUGAAGGGGACUGAGGUUUUCGCAGCGUGUGCUCUCGGGCAAGGCUGGAUGGGUGCUAUGGGAUCGUUCGGGGUACAAUGCCUGGCAUUUUGCUUCGUGUCUUUUCUAUACUCGCUCAACUCAGCUCUUCCACGCUUAGGAUGUUGACUUAAUGGUUUUAAACGACCCGUCUUGAAACACGGACCAAGGAGUCUAACAUAUAUGCAAGUGUUUGGGUGGCAAACCCAUGCGCGUAAUGAAAGUGAACGUAGGUGCGAUCCGCAAGGUGCAGCAUCGACCGAUCUUGAUAUUUUUGGAUAGAUUUGAGUAAGAGCAUAUAUGCUGGGACCCGAAAGAUGGUGAACUAUGCCUGAAUAGGGUGAAGCCAGAGGAAACUCUGGUGGAGGCUCGUAGCGAUUCUGACGUGCAAAUCGAUCGUCAAAUUUGGGUAUAGGGGCGAAAGACUAAUCGAA
rnacentral:rRNA from 2 species